UUGCCCUUCCGGACGAAUGCUCAACUGAAAAUAUACAGAGAAGAUUAGCAUGGCACUUGCACUAAGGGAGACGUAUAAUCAUCAAAGGGAAGCACUCAUUUUUU
rnacentral:snRNA from 1 species